rnacentral:rRNA from 1 species
UGGGGAAUAUUGCACAAUGGAGGGAACUCUGAUGCAGCGACGCCGCGUGAGUGAUGAAGGAAUUCGUUUCGUAAAACUCUGUUCUAUGGGAAGAAAAGGACUGUACCAUAGGAGAAAGCUCCGGCUAAAUACGUGCCAGCAGCCGCGGUAAUACGUAUGGAGCGAGCGUUGUCCGGAAUUAUUGGGCGUAAAGGGUGCGCAGGCGGCUUUACAAGUUGGAUGUGAAAUAUUGUGGCUCAACCACAAACGUGCAUCCAAAACUGCAAAGCUUGAGUUAAGGAGAGGUAAGUGGAAUUCCUGGUGUAGCGGUGGAAUGCGUAGAUAUCAGGAGGAAUACCGGUGGCGAAGGCGACUUACUGGACUUAAACUGACGCUUAGGCACGAAAGCGUGGGGAGCAAACAGG